UAAUAGUUGUCUUGACCUGGAAACAACCCAAACGGCCCACAGGUGAUGGACAGAUAAACUAGUGGAGGAGCAGCCAUAUAAUGGGAAAAAAAAGGAAUGAACUGAUACCCACAUGGAUGGACCUCAAACCCAGAUUCAAAGGUCUCCCUGCUGUAUGAUUCCAGUAAUACCACAUUCUGGAGAAGGCAAAGCUGUAGGGACAGGAAAAAAAGAAAAAAAAGGAACAGACAGAAUGGGCUUGGGGGAGAGGUUGACUAGGAAGGGUCACCAGGGUAUUUUCUGGGGAGCGGGGACUGUUCCGUCUUGUCCUGAAAGUCAGUGACAGGGUAGAAAUGUGUAAAAAUUCAUCAGACUUCACAUUUGAGAUCUGUCCAUUUCUCAAUGCGAGGUAUAUCUCAAUUUCUAAUAAGUUUUUAGAAGCUCCCGCUCCCCAUGCGAGGCUCGAGGGGUCGGCGCUGGGGACUUACGGGGAGGGAGCCGGCCCUGAGGGCCGGUCGGUUCCCGCUCGGGUCCCCUCGGCCGGAAACGCGGCCGCUGCGGCUCCGCCCCCGCUCGCGUCCCGGGUGGGACCCUCCGCUCGCGCCUGCCCGCCUGCGGCGGCGGGGGGCAGCCUGCGGUGCCUCCAGGCUUGGCAGCGGAGGCACGCGCCGGGCACUGGGCCGGGGCUCUGCCGCUGCUCACCCGGGGUCGUCCCAAGCCUCGGCGCCCCUCGCUCCGCAGGGUGGUGCUGCGGCGCCGGCCUCUCUGGCGGUGCAGAACUCGUGCAGCAUGCGGUCCCCAGAGGGCAGGGCCGCCAUUUGCUAACCCCCGGCGCUCCCCCUGGGGGCCUAGAGCCCCUCAGAAGCCACAGAUGCCCAGGGAGGGGACACGCCCUCGUGGAUGGUCAGCUGGGAGCAUAGCUGGGGAAUAAAGGAACCAGGGACAAACCUUCCUGCCCUCGCCAAAGCCCACGCUCUGUGCCGGGCACUGUGGACACAGCCGGGACCAGACAGACAGGGUCCUGGUCACAGGAGCCCUCAUCCCAGCGGAGGAAACGGGGUGCACAGCAACAAGCAUAAAUGACGAUUGCACAAAGUUUCCCUAACUGUAUAAAGCACCUGGGUUGGAAGCUCUGGAAUUCUGGCUCCUUUCAAACCAAGACUAAUGUGACUUCACUUCGGUUGCACAAGAUAUGUGCCUGCAGACGUUCACAGAGACAGACGGACCUCAACAUGCAGAGAAAUCAAACAGGCACAGCCAGCAAAAUGGAAUAGUAGAAAUGGCAUGGGCUUCAGAGGCAAACUCAGUGGAGUUCAAAUCCUGAUAUGGCCAUUUACAAGGGAAACAACUUGUCCAUAGGAAAAAAUCCAAACACCUGAGCCCCCGUUUUCUUCUGUGACAUGGAAAUUAUACCAGCUCCUCUUCAGAGCACUUGCAAGAAUCAGAAAUCUAACAAGUGGCACUGCGCUUGGCAUGGAAUAAGAAUUCACAAAGAGCAAUCUCGAAUUCCACUUUUUAAUGAGUACCUAUUAUGUGCCAGGCAUCGUUUCAGGCACUGAGGUCACAGCCAUGAAUGUGACAAUGUCCCUGCAUUGUGAUGGUUAAAAAAUCACCAGUAAAACCUAUCACUAACCAAUUGUAUGUGAUCCAUUUGAAAGUUUUUGUUUUCUAUGCCCGUGAUGUUCUCUUCUGUUGCUCCUAUGGUCUCUGUUUCCCUGAUUCAUACUGAUUUUUUUGUUUCCCAGACCAACCUAAGAGCUGAGGCUGGCCAGAGACAACCCAAAUGACGGCUAUCGAGUUAGUCAUCAGGUGAGAAUGGGAGACGAGAUAUUCUGGAGAUCCAGAUGAAUGAGACAGAUUCCUGUCUCAAAUAAUUCUUGGUCUGUUGGCAAUAUUAAUAAUCGAGACCAUUUGUGGAGUACUUACUUGAGGUCAGGUGUUAGGUGAGGCACUGUACAAUUAAUACUUUUUAAUUAACUAUUUCUUUUAAUCAACCUUUUCUUUAAGGUAUAAUUUACUUUCAUAGUGGUUUGCUGGACCUUUCAAUAGAGUCUCAGUUAACUACUGAAAUGAAGAUUUCUAAAAGAAAAUUCUAUUGUACAGCUUAAACAUUCAUGAAGGCAGAAAUCUGAAUAAAUUUUGCCAUCCUAAUGAAGCAUCGUAAUGACAAAGGUGACAGUAUUAAAAAAAUAAGAAUGGACCUCUGAGCCUCCUAUACUCUAAGUUCCCAGAUUUCAGAUAAAAUUUUGAAGCUCCACCCA